GCCCUAGUAACGGCGAGUGAAGCGGCAACAGCUCAAAUUUGAAAUCUGGCCCUCGGGUCCGAGUUGUANUUUGUAGAGGAUGCUUUUGGCGCGGUGCCUUCCGAGUUCCCUGGAACGGGACGCCUUACAGGGUGAGAGCCCCGUACGGUUGGACACCAAGCCUCUGUAAAGCUCCUUCGACGAGUCGAGUAGUUUGGGAAUGCUGCUCUAAAUGGGAGGUAAAUUUCUUCUAAAGCUAAAUAUUGGCCAGAGACCGAUAGCGCACAAGUAGAGUGAUCGAAAGAUGAAAAGCACUUUGAAAAGAGGGUUAAAUAGCACGUGAAAUUGUUGAAAGGGAAGCGUUUGCGACCAGACCUUUUCCCAGCGGAUCAUCCGGUGUUCUCACCGGUGCACUUCGCUGGGUUUAGGCCAGCAUCGGUUUCCGUAGGGGGAUAAAAGCCCUGGGAACGUAGCUCCCUCGGGAGUGUUAUAGCCCUCUGCAUAAUACCCUUACGGGACCGAGGACCGCGCUUCGGCAAGGAUGCUGGCGUAUGGUCGUCAACGAC
rnacentral:rRNA from 2 species